UCGAGAAUCUUCCGCAAUGGACGCAAGUCUGACGGAGCGACGCCGCGUGCGGGAUGAAGGCCUUCGGGUUGUAAACCGCUGUCAGUGGGGAGGAAAUCCAUGGUGGCCAUCCAUCAUGGUUGACCGAUCUUCAGAGGAAGUACGGGCUAAGUUCGUGCCAGCAGCCGCGGUAACACGAACCGUACGAACGUUAUUCGGAAUCACUGGGCUUAAAGAGUCCGUAGGCGGCCUCGUAGGUGAGGUGUGAAAUCCCACAGCCCAACUGUGGAAUUGCGCUUCAAACCACAAGGCUCGAGGGAGAUAGAGGUGAGCGGAACUGAUGGUGGAGCGGUGAAAUGCGUUGAUAUCAUCAGGAACACCGGUGGCGAAAGCGGCUCACUGGGUCUCUUCUGACGCUGAGGGACGAAAGCUAGGGGAGCGAACGGGAUUAGAUACCCCCGUAGUCC
rnacentral:rRNA from 1 species